CUCAUGUUACUGCACUGCCUGGACACUGCACACUCAUUCCUGCAUGAAAUAUUCAAGGGAUUAUCUUGUAAUCAACUGUAUAAUCAGACCAGGCAAUGGGUGUGUUUAGCCUUCAACCCUGGGGCUGAAGCAAUGUUCCAUGGAGACAAGUACCUGGAUAUGGUGUUAGCUGAUAACACAGAGCAGUGAUAAAUAAUGCCAUUAGACCAGAUUGUGUUUCACCUGCUGGAGAGGAAUGGUGCUUAGAAGUCUGUAAAAGUUGACAGAGAGAUUACGUGCUUUUAAUUAUUAAGAAGUUAUAUAAAACUCCUCCCCAAAUCCA